UAGUCCACGCAGUAAACAAUGGAUACUCGUUGUAGCUGGUAUUGACCCCGGCUGUGACUAAGCUAACGCGAUAAGUAUCUCGCCUGGGGACUACGGUCGCAAGACUAAAACUCAAAGGAAUUGACGGGGGCCCGCACAAGCGGUGGAUUAUGUGGUUUAAUUCGAAGCAACGCGCAAAACCUUACCUGGCCUUGAUCCUUCUGACCGGUAUGGAAACAUACUUUCUCUUCGGAGCAGGAGUGACAGGUGCUGCAUGGCUGUCGUCAGCUCGUGUCGUGGGAUGUUCGGUUAAGUCCGGCAACGAGCGCAACCCACUUCUUUAGUUGCCAGCAUUCAGUUGGGCACUCUAGAGAUACCGCCGGUGAUAAGCCGGAGGAAGGUGUGGAUGACGUCAAGUCCUCAUGGCCCUUACGGGUUGGGCUACACACGUGCUACAAUGGUAGUUACAAUGGGUUAAUCCCCAAAAGCUAUCUCAGUUCGGAUUGGGGUCUGCAACUCGACCCCAUGAAGUUGG
rnacentral:rRNA from 1 species